AUCCAGUUGACGAGUCCCAAAUAGGAUGAAACACGCGUCAAACUGGAU
rnacentral:hammerhead_ribozyme from 1 species